rnacentral:misc_RNA from 1 species
AACUUUUAGCAAUGGAUCACUUGGCUCUUGCAACGAUGAAGAACGCAGUGAAAUGCGAAAAGUAAUGCGAUUUGCAUGAAUCUGUGAGUCAUCAAGUCUUUGAACGCACCUUGCACCGUAUGAGCAAUUGUACGGUAUACCUGUUUGAGAAUCGUAAAACUCUCUUUCCACCAGUCAUGGUGGGAGACUUGUCGGUUGUGCUGGCGCAAGCCCGUACUCUGAUCAAAAGGAUUAGGUCUGGAUCAGGCUAGUGGCCUGGGACAUUGUGUGCUAGAGACGUCGCUUCACGGCUGACUGUCUUCUCACAAUGCGUCCUGGGCUAUUCAAAGCUAGCUUGGUUGGCAAGGCCUCUUUAGUGUCUCUGGUCCUCACGGGCCGGGUCACAACCCCCCUUUUUGAUCUCAAAUCAGGUAAGGCUACCCGCUGAACUUAAGCAUAUCAAUAAGCGGAGGCU